rnacentral:misc_RNA from 1 species
AACCAUAGAAACCUGCGGAGUACCUGCGGAGGGAUCAUUACAGAGUGUAACCCCCUGUAAAAUGGGGGUACCUCCCGUCCUUUGCAGGCCCUUUAGGGUCUUUUGCACUUUGCUUCGGUGGGGUAACCCACCGGAACACUCUCAAAAAAUUCUGAUUUUAAAAUUGUUCAGUCUGAGAAUUUUGAAAAUAAAAUAAAAACUUUCAACAACGGAUCU